GCGGAAUGGCAGACGCGCUAGCUUGAGGUGCUAGUGCCCUACUAAUGGGCGUGGGGGUUCAAGUCCCCCCUCGGACACACUUUCCU
rnacentral:tRNA from 1 species